rnacentral:rRNA from 1 species
UACGGAGGGUGCAAGCGUUAUCCGGAUUCACUGGGUUUAAAGGGUGCGUAGGUGGUGAGGUAAGUCGGAUGUGAAAUCUCCGAGCUCAACUCGGAAAUGGCAUUGGAAACUACCUUGCUAGAGGGUUGGAGGGGGGACUGGAAUACUUGGUGUAGCAGUGAAAUGCGUAGAUAUCAAGUGGAACACCAGUGGCGAAGGCGAGUCCCUGGACAACUCCUGACACUGAGGCACGAAAGCUAGGGGAGCAAACAGG